UACGAGGUAAGAUGCAGAGGUAAGUUGCCCAUCGCUAGUGAAGAUCUGUGCUUCGCUGCACCUCAUACUGCAACCUACUGGCUUCGGAGUUACUAUGAACUGUAAAUCCCAGCAUCCGGCCUCCUACCUAAUAGAUCCAGACGUCGCCGUUAGAGGUCGGGUAGACCUCUAAAGAGUCUUGUUGUCUAACAAAGAAGCCGUUAAGAGAAGGAAAAGAAAAGGAGUCAGGAAUGGCUGUUUCUGAGGAUAUUGAAUUUAGUUCCCUGUGCUCUACAGUAGGACCUUGUAGUUUCUCCAUCCUAUAUAUGCUAGUUUGCAUCUGCUGAUCCCAAACUUGCAAUCCUCCCCCCACCACAAUCCUGCAACCACAAGUCUGUUCUCUGUGAGUCUAUUUCUGUUUCG